GUUACACCACUGGUUCAAAUCCUCUGAUCACAUUUCCGCCACCUAUAGCCUGCAGAUAAUUUUUCUCCCCGAGAAAGGGCACGAUGCUGCAGGUCAUUGGUCUAGACUGUUUGCACGGUCCAGAGAACAGCCUUGAUGUAACCCUUGCUCCGUCUGUGCCACACCACCAGCCGUGCGACUGCAGACUGUAGGGGGACAUCGGAGAUCUGUAUUUGAAAAGAAGUCCGUCCGAUUUUGCCAUUGUGCCUUUUCAGUCAUCGAUCGAAUGAAUAUCGAACCUUCUGUCGUUGCAUGUGUGAAAUAGAUAGCUUAGCAAGCACUUUUGUGCCCAAACCUGUGCAUUGGGCCAAACUGUUUUCCUUUAUUCACAAGUUGUUGGGUUUUGUAAUAUAGCAGUUUCUUAGGUACUUUAAUGAACUGUGUCAUAAUGUUAGACCAGCCUCUCAACAGACAGUUUCUUUGCUGUAAUCUGCUUGUUUUCACACUUUUUUUUUUAUUUUUAUUUUUAAAAGGUGCUUUCGCUUUCAGUCGUUCCCACUUGAACAUUAGUCCUCCCGAAAGUGUGAGGGAGGCUGGAUUUGGAUCAGUAUGCACACCCCAGCAUCGGGGAGCUCAUUUCAAAAUGAAACACCGACUGGAGGUUUGCUACUGUAGGGCUUAAAAAAAUAACAUGAGGGAAAAAAAGUGAAUUUAGAAAGCCUCCAAGGUAAAUUCAAAAAUAAAAAAUCCAGCAAAUAUGGGGCAAUCUUGUAAAAAUACAAAUAAAGCAGAAAUUGGUAAGGAAAGACAGGUAUUAGAAAAGCUAAAACAACCUCACAGAGGUGGCUAAAAACCUAAGAGGAUCCCAUCUCCUUUCUUCCCUCAACACACUGAGACAGUAAUUUUGGAAAAUUAACAUCUGAUAAUAUGGGAACUCUAAAAUACUUCUUACUCCUCCGUACCAUGGUACAAGUAUUUUCAUUCUUCAGUGGCCAGCUAUACGUGUAUUAAGAUGUAUUUAAUUAAAAAUAUGCUCGAACCAUACCAAAAAUUAUGAAAAUUAUGCUAAACCAAUAAGAAAAUGUAGCUUAAAUGUUCAGCCAGAGAGCUCAACAAAACUCUAAGAAUUUCGGGGGGGGGGGGGAGGGGGAAGAAAAAAAUGCUCUAAUACCUUAGAAUAAAAGACAGAAAUGUAGUUAGCGUGUAAAAUGAUAUACUCCUGAAAUCAAGUGGAAAGCAAGUUUUUACUCUUCUUUUAAUAGAAUGGCAAACUCUCUGACCACUGACUGUCAAAAAACAAUAACCUAGUGACAGCCAUCAGCACCUACUCAUUGUAAAAUAUGCCUGCCUCUACUCUGGUCUAAUAAAAUUCGAAUCGCAUCAAAAAGGGCUUAUAUAUUCUUCAGGGUGUUGCUUACCCAGCGUUGUCUGUAUAUGACAUCAGUAUAUAUAUUUUUGAGAUACCACUGUCUCAUACUUCAAGGCAUACCUAUUUUCUCUAAUUGCCACAGGCAAAGGGGAGGUGCACUAAAGAAUAAAGAAGGUUAUUGUGACAGAUGAAACAUAAUUCACGAGUACUCUUUUCAUCCAGCCUUAAGUAGCAGAGGAUUACUCCGAGCUGAAUUUUGGGGGAGUAUGUAUGAUCUGAUUUAAUAAUAUCAGGACAGGCCACAAGCUGAAAGGCAAUGUAAACCAAUUACGCUUUUGCUGAAUGUUUAGGGGGUUCUGUUACUGGCUUCCCCCCCCCCCCCCCUUUUCUGGAAGUAGAAGAAAUGUUAACGUGAAGAGGGUCUGAAGAAACGUGGGGAAAAGUAAGAGAUGCCGAGAAAUAAAAGUUGGGAUUUUCUGGAAUGGAUCAUAAUAAACGAUUAUUCUCUAUUUCCGCUUCAUGACACUUAAAUGAAAUAAGAUCAUGCCAUUUCUACAGUAAAUAUGCGCUGCGAAAGUAGGUAAAUUAAUUUUGAUACACUUAUUGAACUUGUAUUGCUUCAGAGAGAUUCUUCUAAAAAUGCUGUAUGUUAUCAAGUUUAGAUGUAGAUAAGUGUGCCAGUAAAAUAACUUUCUGCUGAACGUGUGUGCACUGCUUUUUUGAGUCACUGUUUUAAUAUUUAAACAGUAAAUAGGUAAGCUUGCAUGUGUAUUUUACACGUUUGUUUCCUUAAGAUGUGCUUUUGAAAAGACCUGCUUAGUAUAAUUUGCUGUAUUACAUUUUGAAAGGAUUUCUUUUUACUGUUUCAAUUUUUAUAUACAAAUAUUUUUAUAUAAUCUAAAACUGCAUUCAGAAUAUCUGGUCAUGUGUAGACAGAUGAGCUGCAGAAAGUGUUAAGUCACCUGGCAAAAGGAGUAAACAGUAGCUCACUUUGUUUACGGCUAAUGUGUUAGUUUAGAUUACUGACUUUUUUUUUUAGCAAUAAGUAACUUCUUUAAAAAAAUCCAUUUUAAUACAAGUCUUAAUAAACUAAACAUUGAUCUUCUCAAAGAAUAUUAUUAAGAAUUCUGUAAGAUUUAGUAUGCAAAAUAAAUCCAUCUUUAAAUACA